GCAAGUCGAACGCUGAAGCCUGGCUUUUGUUGGGUGGAUGAGUGGCGAACGGGUGAGUAACACGUGAGUAACCUGCCCCCUUCUUUGGGAUAACGCCCGGAAACGGGUGCUAAUACUGGAUAUUCACUGAUCUUCGCAUGGGGGUUGGUGGAAAGGUUUGUUCUGGUGGGGGAUGGGCUCGCGGCCUAUCAGCUUGUUGGUGGGGUGAUGGCCUACCAAGGCUUUGACGGGUAGCCGGCCUGAGAGGGCGACCGGUCACAUUGGGACUGAGAUACGGCCCAGACUCCUACGGGAGGCAGCAGUGGGGAAUAUUGCACAAUGGGCGAAAGCCUGAUGCAGCGACGCCGCGUGAGGGAUGGAGGCCUUCGGGUUGUAAACCUCUUUCGCUCAUGGUCAAGCCGCAACUGUGGGUUGUGGUGAGGGUAGUGGGUAAAGAAGCGCCGGCUAACUACGUGCCAGCAGCCGCGGUAAUACGUAGGGCGCGAGCGUUGUCCGGAAUUAUUGGGCGUAAAGGGCUUGUAGGCGGUUGGUCGCGUCUGCCGUGAAAUCCUCUGGCUUAACUGGGGGCGUGCGGUGGGUACGGGCUGACUUGAGUGCGGUAGGGGAGACUGGAACUCCUGGUGUAGCGGUGGAAUGCGCAGAUAUCAGGAAGAACACCGGUGGCGAAGGCGGGUCU
rnacentral:rRNA from 1 species